CCUCCCUGGAGGCCUCCAGGCUGGUGGCCCAGAACAGAUGGUUGUCAGGCCUUGGCCAGAGGCCCGUGUCAUCACAGAGGCCCCUCCCUCAGUGGAGGCUUUUUAGCGACCACCUGGGGAGUGCAAACUGUCCUGCCACAAACAGGUCACUGUCACCAGUGUGAUCCAGGGCCUGGCCCAGCCCUGGGCCCAGCCUGUCUUGAGUAACCCUGUCAGAGGCCAAGCUCCCUGUUUUGCUUGCGCAAUAGCCACUCCGGGGGCCAGAGGCCUGGCCUCAAGAGAACUUGAUGGGGGAAGCCUUGCGCCCAGAGGCUUUGCCCCUCACUGAGGGCACAAUCAAGCCCUCCAACCAGGCCCCUCCUCUACCAGGAGCCAGGGGAGAAGGAACCAGAGAUUACAUGGUGAGCAAGGAGGACAGCUGAGCUGGCAGGUGGGUGGCCUGGCCAUGCGGAGGGGAAAGCCAGGGAGGGAGGACGGCUGAGGUAAGUCGGGCCUAGAGCAGCCGCUCUCCUUGCACAUGCCCCCUUCCCGGCCACUCUGGGGCUCUGUGUGCCGGGGGUGCUGAGCCACUGGACUCAGCCCUGCACCUGGGCACCUGCUCUCCCAUUCCCCCAAACUCUGUUCUCCAGGGUAGGCAAAGCCAAGCCAAAGAGGUUUCUCAACAGACAGACAGACUGACUUCAGAGAAUAGAAGACCCACAAGUUUGUAGGAAGCAGCAGGACUCAAGUCUUCACAAGCCCCCACCUCCAAGAGGAGAUCCUGGAACCAGAAAACCACAGCAAAGUUGGACAUUGAACUGGCUGUGUGAAUGCCUGCAGAACUGGCCUGAGGCUGCUUGGUGCAUCCUGGCAGAGAGAGUCCAGGCCAGGAAUCUUCCAGGAGGACCCUGGAUCUGGUGCAGCCACCAAAGGAUGCUCCAAUUCUAUGUCCAACAGACAUGACCUGGCAUUAAAUUCCAACAGCUGUGCAUACCCCUGCAACUUCCUUCUCACUAGACACUGUAGGAAUGUAAAGACUUUGUGGUUUCUAUCCACACACACCUUCAGGCAAGCAGUCGAGAAGUCAACUGUCAAAUAGCCUGCUUUUCAAUUGUCCUUGGCCUGUCUGCUUCAAGCUCUCAUUCGGAUGCUCUGUGUUAGCAAGAAAAUUCAACCUAA